rnacentral:rRNA from 1 species
UACAGAGGGUGCGAGCGUUAAUCGAAGUUACUGGGCGUAAAGGGCGCGUAGGCGGUUGAGUGAGUGUGAUGUGAAAGCCCUGGGCUUAACCUAGGAAGUGCAUCGCAAACGACUCAACUGGAGUAUAAGAGAGGGUGGCGGAAUUUCCGGUGUAGCGGUGAAAUGCGUAGAGAUCGGAAGGAACGUCAAUGGCGAAGGCAGCCACCUGGCUUAAUACCGACGCUGAGGCGCGAAAGCGUGGGGAGCGAACAGG